GCAGGACGAUGUAUCACUGAGCCUUCCCUCUCUCUCUGCUUGGCAAAACUGAUGGGAACCCGGUCUCCAGCCGUGACCUGCUGUCCUUUCCUGCAACAGUAUGGUGGGUUUUACUGUCCGCGCAAGAGGGGAGAACCCUACGAGUGCAAGCAAACAGGCUCCACGGGCGAAGGGGCUGAGAGGCAGUGAUCGGCGGUUACCACACGGUCACGGGAACAUGAAGCACGGCAGUGGGAGCACAGCCAACAACACUGCAAUAAUCAUGUAUGCUGCCGGGCACCCCCCAGCGUGGAACGUGGAGAAGACCCUCAGACCCCGUCGCAGCCGCCGGGAGAGGGGCAGACGAGCGGGUCUCCACAGCAGGGACUAGAGACUGCAAACCGACAGCCGCGUUCUCUGCUCUGCAGACCCCCACCUCCUGCCCACUCUCGUCCCAGCUGGCCUCUCUCCUUUCUAGUCCUGGCCUUGCCACUGUGACGUCUGCAUUUGCAGUAUGUGUUUCAGAGGGUUGGGGGACAACCUUUCUUCAAAAUGUCCGAGGGAAAUGAAUGCGGUGAAGGGACACCAGAAACGCUGACUCAUGCUGGGCCGCUCUGAGCGUGGGGCUGUGGAUCCCGGCUCGAUCAACACUGGCAGCACCCGGGGCCCGGGCCUCCUUUCUCUUCCAGCCUCCGGCUCCCGCCCACACUGCACGGGGCCUCACGCACACAUGUGUGGACAACCUGGCCUUACGCCCAAGGUCUGCUGAUAACCCACAUUUACACACAGUCAUGCCCUGGGCCGGGAAGUGGCUGGAGCCUGGCGAGAAGCCCGUGUCCACUGUGAAAGUGCGAGAAGGGCCCUCGCAGGAGAGGAUUCCGGGCAAGCCCCGGGAACAUGACCUAGAACAGGAGGGGUCUGGGUGGGCACGGUCCCCUGGCCUGGCGCCUCCUCACCCCACAGAACAAGCGAAGGAUAGGUAAUACCUUGUUAUCCAACUUUUUAAUCUUUGCCAAUCUCACAGGUGAAAAACAGCCUACCUCAGAAUAGUGUUAGUGGGCAUCUCUCACACUGUGAAUGAACGUAAGCACUCUGAGUUCAUUUUCAAAGUAAAUCACACAUAAGCCCAGAAGAAAUAUUAGAAAUAUAAUCAGCUCUAGAUAACCUGGGAUCAUGAGAAGACCCUAAGGUGCUUCUACCCGUCUUACUGCCCCCCACCCCCGUCUUCGCACGCCUUAUCUUUCUAGUCCCUUGGCUCUCGGUGUAGCAGCCACCUUCUCAGAAAGGCCUUCCCCGACCACCGGGAUAAAACAGCCCACAGUGAUGUUCCAAAUGGAUAGUCCUGCUUUAAUUUUUCUGUAUUGCCCUUACCAUAUUCCAGUAUUUUUCUUAUUUUUUUACUAGCAUGCUUACUGUCUUUCUCCUCUACUAGAAUAGGCAAUAUAUACAUUCAAGGUUUAUAUUUUUGCACUUAACAGCUUCUAGAUUUACUGUAACAACCAAAAAAAAGAGGAACUUCGAUUACUUUGUUUAUUACCUCCUUAAACUAGGAGAAGGAGGACAUCCUCUGUCUGGGCCAUAACUCCACCCCCACAAUGGAAAGUUUCUGUCAUACUGCGGUCACUCAAAUGACACAGACCUGGAAUAAAUGACAAAGGCUCCCUUUCACUCCGUUUCCCCAGGGCCAUGCAUAUAGUUCCAGCCUGAAGAAGUGAACUGUGCCACAACCCAGUCUAACAGCCCUGUCAUUCCAGAUCCCUCUGGAAUGUUCUAGCAAUUCCGUGUUCUGUCGGGAACUGUCUUUACCCGUAGGGCACGCUGCCUCCCUGACCUGCCCGCAGCUUCCUGGCAGCUGCAGCAAGUUGUGGAAAUUAACAGCUGUGCCAACCACGCCAAGGCCACGCCGGGGCGUCCCCAGCAGGUGCUGCCUGUCGGUCUAGGCCAUGCGGGAAAGCUUCUAGGACUGCUGUGAAGAGGGGUCCCAGACAGGAGGGGUGUGCAGGGGCCCCACAGGGCCAAGAGCCAUCUCGGUUCCUACCACCAAGGCACCACCCAAGGAGCAUCUCCUGCUCAGACCAUCACUUCUGCUUUUUCAUGAUGGUAAAAGGAAAAGGAAUUUCUCAGCAUGUACAUUAUGUAUACUAUAUAAAACCUCUGGUUCUCUGGCCCUGUUGACUUUAGAGUACCCCAACCAGAUGUCUUCAUUCAACCCCAAGUCCCUAUAAUGUGUCCACAAGUAGAUGGCCUUUUUACCGACUUUUUGUUUCAUUUUCUGCUCUUGCUAAGAGUUCACCAAGGAAAAGUCUGUUCACCAUUGGCAAAGCUGCUCCAACUUCUGUGAUAGAACCCACACUUCCCACACAGCGUGGCGAAAUAGUUAGGACAUUUAACAUAACAUUUGGAGAUGUUUCUCAAUCCGACAGCAACUUGAAAACAGAAAGUCCCUCUCAGUGCAACCAACCCCACAGUUAGGUCAGGCACAGAGGGAUCCCACUGUCCUAGAACUUGCCGAGAAAACAGCUUCUUCAUGUGCCCCGAGCAACGCACUGGUCCUUCCCAGUCUCGGGGCUGAGGCCGGAGGAGCAGCAAGCUCGCGUCUGUGUCGUGUUUCACGCGGACAGUGAAGCUCUGUUACUGAGUUCCUCGGGACAGUGACUUCCUACAGGAUGACGUGAGGGGAAAACAGGGUGCAGAACAUACAGGAAUUUUUCAUUUAAAAAAAUGCUACUGGUGACCUCUGGGUAGCAGAAUAAAGCAUUGCUUUUAUUUUGUUCUUUAUAUAUUUUUGUAAUUAAAAAAUUUCCACAGCAAAUAUGGACUAUUUUACAAUUUUAAAAAGUUUUUAAUUUUUUAAAAUUGAUUUUAGCGAGACAAAGAAAGAGAGCAAGAGAGAGAGAAAAAAUCCCCUCAUCGUCCCACUCAUGCAUGUACUCACUGGUUGAACCUUGUAUGUGCCCUGACCAGGGAUUGAACUCACAACCUUGGUGGAUCAAGCUGGCCAGGGCUAAAAACAGAGCUAUUUUUAAAUGCUUUCACGUAUUUCAGCAAGUGCUCACAUGUUCUGUAAGUAUUCAUAUCCUCAAUGUACAAAUGAAAAACUGCUCAGGUAGGAGAAGUGGUAACUUGACCCAAAGUUCGAUUAUUCUGUCUGUACUGUAUUUGCCAAGUUUUCAGUGAAUGCUCCUGCCAGCCCACACUCGUGCGCAGAGGAGGAAGCUGCAGCAGGAGAGACACGGGGAGAGUAUGUGUUUAUGAACGAGGCUGACUGACCGGAACUGAGUGGGUGGUCUGCGCCCGUCGCAGCCCUUUUCGGGACAUCGGCCGAGGAAGGCUGUCCUGGGAUCAGAACGAUCAGAACCGUCCCAGGACUUGGUUUGGUGAUGAAGACUCCGGCCGCCGGCUACCAUGUGAAAAGAGAGCAAAAGGAACAUACGUCACUGGCUGCUAACUUACCGGCAGCGGCCCACUGUGAUUCAUUGUUUUAGCAAACGUACGCCAGAUAGUGGUGUUUUCCUUGGAAGUUUCGUACAGUUUAGUAACAUGCAGCGGUCAUGUUUCACAAGGUACAUCAUGUAGCUUUUGCAAGUAUAUCUGAAUCAAUAAUUAACGAUUCCCUUAAUUCAAGCAUGUGAUUUUUAAAAAUCAACUUCCGUAUUUUUGUGGUUAUUUUUCAUCUAGGAGCUAUAAGUAGAAAAAGAUGGACCUCAGCAUGUUUUAUUAAGCUGAUUCACUGACCCCACUAAUUGGAAGGCAUUUCAAAAUACAAAUGGCAAUUAUUAAAGGAAAUAAUGAAAUUCUGUACUACUAUAACUCACAUGGAUUGGGAAAAAAUCAUGCAAUGGCUACUGGCUUUGAAGAAAAACAGUCUUUUCUUUUUCAUUCUCCUUUCUUUUUCUCUGUCUGAGGAAAAAAUAGCUCUGCUAAGAACACAUAAUAACAUUAAAGCUUUGAUAACCACAAA